rnacentral:sRNA from 1 species
AUAAAAUCAAUGUUCACCCCAAUUUCGGAGGAAAUCAAUCAGUAUACACGUGAUUUGACACGUGUUUUAACAUUCCAACACCGCCAACGGGCGAGUUUAUCGACAUUUUUGGAACGAAAAGUAGCGGCAUUCGAUCGACUACGUGAUGCUUAUAGUGAAGAAAAAACCAAAAAAGAACACUAUAAAAAG